GAGGAGUAAGAGGCCCAAGAGGGCUGCAGACUGGCAGGGAAAGUGAAGAAUUGAAGGGUAGACCACUAACGAUAGCAGAGGAAAUAAAGGUAGAUGGUGGGCUAAGAAUAAUGGGAGAGGGAUUGACGAAAGAAGUAUGGGCUGAGGGAGGGAUGAUGGUGGAGGCCAGUGUGACCGAGGGGAGGGGAAAGGUGGAAGAAGCAGAGUGGGAUAGCGUCCUGGGAAAGAAGUGAAGGAGGUCGGUGGACCGCUAAGGGUUAGACUCCUAGAGGCUGGAGAGCGGCGCGUGGGGGAGGCGGGGCGCGGAGGGGGGGUUAAGGGGCGUUAGCAGCGCAUGCGCUGGAAGCACACUGCGGCGAUUCUGGAGAGGUUGUCCUUUUCUGGCAUCAGCGUUGCGGCUCGAGGCAAAGCUGGUCCUGUGCCUGCUGUCCAUUGCCGCUAAGGCCUGCUGCUGCCAUUCAGGCGUGUCUCUCUCUCUCUCUCUCUUUCAUGCCGCUCUCUCCACCCCAUCUUGGGACGGCCAGCUCUAAGAAUUCCUGCUACGACACUGAAUUCAACCAGGAGGUGAUGCCACACUCAAUCAGAAACUAUGCUACUGCUGAAGAGGUAUAUUGAGCCCUGCCUGGUUAACCUCCAGUGAGGUUAUUAGAGAAUUGGGAGAGGCUCAAAUCAGCAUCCUGCACCUAGUUAUCAAACCAUUGUGAAGUCUUGAUUCCUGGAUGGCCAGAAAACUUGUCAUUGGUCAAGAGCAACAUUAAGAUCUGCCUGUUACUCAUACUGAUGCUUCCUGCCCAGCAAGUUCAUCAGAGGGCGAGGAUGAAUUACGGUUGCCAUGAAUGUCCUUGUGAGGCAGUUGGGAAGCCUUGGCUGGAUUGUGAAGGAUAUUUGAAAAGUAUUUUAGAGUCCACCAGAUCAUCCAUGUGAGUGACCAUGCAGCAAAAGAAGGAGGGUCCUCUCAGUGAUUAAGGAUUAUGAAGUAUUAAUUCUUCCACUGAUAUCUCAAAAGGUGAUCUGGACAAAGGAACAGGUAUCUCAGCUUCCAAGUUUGCUGGAGCCAUGUUUUCUCUAAUGUCCCCACAGAACAGUGGUUGGUAGGAUGGCG
rnacentral:lncRNA from 10 species